CAUGGGUGUAGAGUUUCACAUCAUUCUAUCAUGGUAUAUGAGCUUAUGAAUCUCAAUGUCUGAUACAAAUUUUCAGGAUAAACUUGCCAUGAAUAUCACCAUAGAGCAGGGUAAGACAUUGAAGGGUGCUGAGUGUAGUGAUGUGCUCCGUGAGGUGGUUGAACGUGGUUGUUGGAUGGCAACUCUACAUAUGGGGGAGUUUGUUCCCAAUGCGCUUAUGACAUUGAUACGUACUACAUCAGGAACCCCUUGGUGUUCGUGUUCGGAUUUCCCCCUUCAACAUUCCAUCUAUGAUUCCUUAUAGAUGUUCUCAGUUGCAGUUACAUGUGGCAAUACAUUUGUUCUUAAGCCAUGUGAAAAAAUCCAGGACAUUGUUAAUUACAUAUGCGAUGAUGACUAAGGCUUUUUUACUUGUUGGCUCGAGUACAGGGGCGUAAACAAGCUGAACGUGCCAAAGCCCCAAAAGUCAAUGUGGGAACAGAUCCUAGUGCGUGCAUACGUUGGUCCAGUUAUUAGCAAAGAGAUUUCAAACAGGUUGAUGCUAGCGGGUUCUACUUCCGAGAGAUUGGUACUCUUUGUGUUGGUUGUAUCCUCAAGUAAGUACCUGAAUUUACAGCCAAGCAUCACAUUUAUGUAUUACGUCCUCUUUUCCAUACUUGUUGCUUAUUUGUAAAUCAAAUACGUGCAUACUAUCUGAAGUGAUUGUUAUUUCUGAUAUUCUUUUUCUUCGGAUGGUUUUGUUGAUUUUGAUUUGCAUGGCUAUUGGAUACUAUGAUAGUGUAGGGAACAGUGAACCUUUGAAGCUUUGCAAAUUUUUUUGUUCUGAAUCAGCAUUGCUAUUAAUAACAACCUUUGACCAAUCUCCAAAUCUAGAUUUUUCUGUAGCUCACUUGUUUUUGCUUUUUAUAACCCCUUUGCCUUUUAUGUUUACAUGAAGUAUAUACAGGUCCUUGUAAUAAGAUUACUUAUAACAAAUGGAGAAAUGAUUGUCAAUAUCUGAAUUUAGUUUGUGUUGUAGUUGUGCAAGUGUUUUUUGCUUUUCAAAUCCCGCUGCCCCUUGUUUGCAGAAAUUUAUGUUGCCUCUUUGUAUAAUGAAAUUUCUGAGAAGAAAAUAGUCAUAUGGUUAUUCAUGUAUAAACUAUCUGAGUACAGCAAUGAUUAUAUAUAUUACCCAUUUUUCAUUAUUGCAUCUUUUCUACGUUCUCCUUGUAACUGACUCAAAUCUUUUUAUGUUUUUUUUUUUUGUUGCAAAAUGGUGAAAAUUCGUAAGGUUGUAGUGCAUUCAUAUAAUUAAGAGUCUUGCACAGAUG